CCUCAAUUAACAGAGUUGAACCUUUGUGUGGAUACAGCAUUUUGGAAACAUACCUUUAGUAGAAUCUGCAAGUGGAUAUUUAGAUAGCUUUGAAGAUUUCGUUGGAAACGGGAAUAUCUUCAUAUAAAAUCUAGACGGAAGCAUUCUCAGAAACUGCUUUGUGAUGUUUUCAUUCAAGUCACAGAGUAGAAUGUUCCCUGUUAUAUACCAGGUUUGAGACACUCUUUCUGCACUACCUGGAAGUGGACAUUUGGAGCGCUUUGAGGCCUAUGUUGAAAAAG
rnacentral:lncRNA from 1 species